CCUACGGGGCGCUGCAGUGGGGAAUAUUGGACAAUGGGGGGAACCCUGAUCCAGCCAUGCCGCGUGUGUGAAGAAGGCCCUCGGGUUGUAAAGCACUUUCAGUGAGGAAGAACGCCUGGUGGUUAAUACCCAUCAGGAAAGACAUCACUCACAGAAGAAGCACCGGCUAACUCCGUGCCAGCAGCCGCGGUAAUACGGAGGGUGCGAGCGUUAAUCGGAAUUACUGGGCGUAAAGCGCGCGUAGGUGGCUUGAUAAGCCGGUUGUGAAAGCCCCGGGCUCAACCUGGGAACGGCAUCCGGAACUGUCAAGCUAGAGUGCAGGAGAGGAAGGUAGAAUUCCCGGUGUAGCGGUGAAAUGCGUAGAGAUCGGGAGGAAUACCAGUGGCGAAGGCGGCCUUCUGGACUGACACUGCCACUGAGGUGCGAAAGCGUGGGUAGCAAACAGGAUUAGAUACCCGAGUAGUC
rnacentral:rRNA from 1 species